CGGGGGGAGCAAGCGUUGUUCGGAUUUACUGGGCGUAAAGGGCGCGUAGGCGGUCAGCACAAGUCAGUUGUGAAAUCUCCGGGCUUAACUCGGAACGGUCAACUGAUACUGUGCGACUAGAGUGCAGAAGGGGCAACUGGAAUUCUCGGUGUAGCGGUGAAAUGCGUAGAUAUCGAGAGGAACACCUGCGGCGAAGGCGGGUUGCUGGGCUGACACUGACGCUGAGGCGCGAAAGCCAGGGGAGCGAACGGGAUUAGAUACCCCGGUAGUCCUGGCCUUAAACGAUGGAUGCUUGGUGUCUGGAGUUAUAUAGUCUCCGGGUGCCGCAGCUAACGCGUUAAGCAUCCCGCCUGGGGAUGCGGUCGCAAGACUG
rnacentral:rRNA from 1 species